CUCUCGUCCCGCGACCUUGCAGGAAUCCGCGGGCCCGGUUGCAGCCCGGCUGACCCUCCUGCUCCAGGCCCGGCUGCAGAGAAAGUCUUCGGGCAGGAGGCCAUCCGGUCCCUGUCUUUAAAAUGAGCACAAUAAAAGGGGGCAAUCCUCGAACGCGAACCUGAUCUCAUGUCACAGAAGCAACUUGCCAUGAAAUCCGCUAAUGCGCCGCGACUCGCCCACCAGGGCAGCAUGCGGCGGCCGAACUGCACCUGCGUUUGUGAUCCUGGUAGAAAUGGAGCCCGCAGGAUUCCCUCACCCGGAGAAACCCCCAAAUUGAAACUUGACUACACUUCCCAGGGCUGGUUCACGGUUUCAUAAUCUCCCAGGUUUGCUGGCUGUCUCACCAAAUCCAAGCCAAACCUGCUACAAACAUGAUCACAGGCCACUGACCUUGCAGCACUGACAGUUAACUCGGUGGCAAAACCAGCUCCUCUGGUCAGAGGGCAUUAAAGCAGCGGCUGAAUUCGUGUUUGUUUGCUUGAAUGGUCAGAAAAAUGAAGUCUUCUUAAACCUACAAAAACAGCCAAAACACAUUUUCAAAUGUGUUUUGCUUAUAUUGGUUCGAGUGCUGGAAGCUGUGUGGCGGUGAGCUUUUUCGUUGCGCGUGGUUUAUGCGGAGCACCCGGGAUGUUUUUCUCAUCUUUUACGUUUUGGUAUCUUUUAAAAAUGCAGAAUGUGUCUCUGGUUCAGAGUAUGUUCUUUAAAAACCAGAUUUGUAGGAGAGCAUUUGAAAUUGAGUGUUGAGAAAAGCAGACUGGAAAGUACAAAUAAACCCAAUCCAAAUUGAAAACAAAUUAGAUGAAAUUAUUAUGAAAGAAGAUGGGGGAUUAACUUGUCUGGAAAAAUCGAGUUUAUAAUCUGAACUUUACAGAUGUAGUGGCAACACAGAACAAAUCCAAAGGAAUUAUGUCUAUUAUUUUGCCCUCCCAGUCAUCUGGGUCAGGUGCACAUUUUGGGGCACUUUGAAGAACAGAUAAGCUUUGGGACACUUCCAUACUUUUUUGAUAAACUGCAGUCAAUUAGGUGACAUUUAGUGCUGGUGGAAAACAAUUUAAAAUUUAUUCCUGGCUUUAGGGGACAAAAGAAAAAUUUUUAACCCUGGCAGUUAAAUUAUUACUGGUUUCUACAGGAUUAAUUUGAUAUAAAUAAUCUACUCUCCUGGAGGAGAAGGUGAGGCCUGGCAUUCUAGAAGGGCCAGUCAGGUGGUGACAAACCUCUCUGCCUUGGGAUUUUGAGGGGCAUGUUGGGUGGCUCUGAACCUGGCUUUGGGUUUGUUGCAUCUCUCGCUCUCUUAAAACAGUAACUCAAGAUGUAAGUAAAAGUGUUUUCAUUUUUUAUUGAUCCCGCUAACAUCUUUCAUUAUCCAGCAUGUAGCCACAACAAAUUAUUGCUCAUUUGAUACUGAGAAUUCUAUUGACCAUCCCUUUCGUUGGAGAGAGAAUUCUAACUACUCGGCUGCUCUGUCGUCAGUCAGAACUAAAGCUAAGGACUUUCCACGACUGAAACCAAAAUAAAUUGAGCCUUCUGCCUCCAGAAAUUGAUAGAAAUGUGUUCAUUACAUUGUGCCACGUGACCAUGCAUAGAAAUCUGCUUUUUACUCUCCCAGCCUUGCCCCCACUCAGGCAAUAGGUCGGCCCCAUGGAACAGAACUGCCCAUUUGAAGGGCUGGGCAUUCUUAUGCUUUACCUGUAUCCCUUCCGGCAACUUCUUUCCAGCUCUGACCAGGUUGGGGCAAUGAAAUGAUGCAAUGGGAGACUGCUCCUAAGCCCUAUGAUCAAAGCCACCUCUAUUUGCUUAAGCUUAGAGAAAUCAUUAAAAUCUCAACAAAAAAAAAACCCUCCUAAAAUGUCCAGAUAACUGACUUUAUGGUCUGGAUAUAAUUUCCUAAAUUAAACUGCUCCACCCCCAUUAAGACCCCACAUAAUCAAAGAGAGCUAAGUUGGGAAGUGAAGGUUAAGCUCUGAGAUAUGCAUCUGUUCUCUCUGGAAAUGGGCGCCCAGCGGGAAUGACAGGCCUGGGCAACUGGUGCGCUCACACCAGCUGCAGAGCAAAAAGGAAGCCUGUGGCCUAGAGAAGGCCUGACCUUUGACCCUUGGCCUGACAGCUCCAGGGCGCUAGAGUCUGCCAAGGGAGGGGGGUUAGGAGAGGAGGCUAGAGAGAGGGCCCCUCUGGGCAAUAGGAGAGGCCGGGUUUGUUUCCCCGGGAAGCUGGUGGAGGAAUCUACCUUGACGCCGAAAGGAGCUGGAGCUGCCCCACAGCAGGGGUCACCCAACGCCCAACCCUCGGGCUGCCUUCACCAUCCCAGAGGCGGCCAGGUCAGGCCUGUCUGUUGGGACCCAUGCUCCCUUGUCGCCUCCCUUCCAGCAUCUGGGGAAAAGGCGCCGGGACUUGAGGGUGUUCUGGCCCCACACGACAGGGGCGAAGAGAGACAGAAGUCGAGCCAAGAAGCAGGUGGUGGCUGAGCUGGUGGGGCUUGGGCCACUGCUAGUCCAGCGUUGGUGCCCAGCAGGGCCUGUCACAUUUACAAGCGACGGGGAAUACGUCCGCUUCUUCCUAAGCCCUCGACCCCAAGAGGAGGCCAGGACGACCUCGCAGGAGCCAAGCCUCCUGGGGAUUCUAUGGAGGAGAUGGUUUGGUUGGGUUUCAUUUGCACCAGUACCAGGGAAUGGACCCUCUCGGUUUGGUUUCAGAACAAACGGAGGACCAAUUAACGACUGUACAAAUUAGUCCCGUGUGCAACCCGCCAAACAACGCCAGUUCCAAAUCGGAAGGCGCAUUUAGGAGCUCUCAGGGACCCGGCUUGGUAGUGAUGUUUCCAACGGUGCUAUUAAGUGUGAGUGAAGCUAUUUGUACCCCUGCCGGCCUCGCUCCAAGACCCUGGCUCAAUGGGGAGCCACUUUGUUCUGAAAGAAGGCAGCGGAUAAAUAGGAGCUCUGGCAGCGCACCCAGGACCCUGACCCAAGAGCAGCAGCAGCAGCAUCGGAAAGACGCGAUAGUCUGAUUCAGCUUGGGGAGAGGGAGAGAGGUGUAAGAUGAGAUACACACCGGAUUUUUUAGUUUUUCUUUUUUUGUUUCUAACGUAGAUAAAUAACCCCAACGUCCGUGUAAUCAUCCCGUUCCCAAUGAAGUCGUUUUCCUCGAAUACACUCUCUGCCUGCCACACUUGAGGAAUCCAGCCCACAGAGGUUUCAGAAACCCCGUUUGAGUGAUUCCAGUCUAGACUGAAACCCCACAAGCCUCCCAGGAAAGGGAGCCCGGCCCGGGCCAGGCAGCUGGUCACACACACACACGGACAGGACAGUGUAGCUCCUCGCAGAAUCGAAGGCUGGAUGCGAAUCUGGGAGGCGGUGACUACAAGGGCCAGGAAGACUGUGACAGAAACCAAUACAGCAGUGUCAUCUUGAAAGUUCCUUGGAAGAACAGGACCUGGGGUCUGGGUUUGAAUCGAAAAAUUAUGAGCAAGGGACAGAUCACACAGCACUUCUUUGGAAGGAGACACAACUGAGACCUGCCCAGCUGGACCAGCGUUGCCAUAUAUUGGGGAUUAGGAAAUUAUUCUCACACACAGUAGCACACGCAUCCUCUGACAGCGAGCUCACUCCUGAGCAGUGGGUUUCUGGCCCCCCCACUCCACUCCACAAUGGCCCUACAGGCCACCUCCAGGUUUUGCCAGGCAAAUGAAACGAACAGAACUCGAUAGUAAAUUAUUUUGUUCAGCCUUCUCUCUUUUUAUCAAAAUAAAAGGCAACACUUUGUCAUUUUUAAUCACAUAAGUAGACAAUAAAUCUAAUUUUGAUAUUGA